rnacentral:rRNA from 1 species
GAAAGUCCGGCAGUAAAGGGUGAUAGCCCCGUAUCUGAAGAUGCUGUUAUUGUGAACUCGACGAGUAGGGCGGGACACGUGUUAUCCUGUCUGAAUAUGGGGGGACCAUCCUCCAAGGCUAAAUACUCCUGAUUGACCGAUAGUGAACCAGUACCGUGAGGGAAAGGCGAAAAGAACCCCGGCGAGGGGAGUGAAAAAGAACCUGAAACCGUGUACGUACAAGCAGUAGGAGCCUCUUUAUGGGGUGACUGCGUACCUUUUGUAUAAUGGGUCAGCGACUUAUAUUCUGUAGCAAGGUUAACCGUAUAGGGGAGCCGUAGGGAAACCGAGUCUUAACUGGGCGAAUGAGUUGCAGGGUAUAGACCCGAAACCCGGUGAUCUAUCCAUGGGCAGGUUGAAGGUUGGGUAACACUAACUGGAGGACCGAACCGACUAAUGUUGAAAAAUUAGCGGAUGACUUGUGGAUGGGGGUGAAAGGCCAAUCAAACCGGGAGAUAGCUGGUUCUCCCCGAAAGCUAUUUAGGUAGCGCCUCGUGAACUCAUCUUCGGGGGUAGAGCACUGUUUCGACUAGGGGGUCAUCCCGACUUACCAACUCGAUGCAAACUGCGAAUACCGAAGAAUGUUAUCACGGGAGACACACGGCGGGUGCUAACGUCCGUCGUGAAGAGGGAAACAACCCAGACCGCCAGCUAAGGUCCCAAAGUCAUGGUUAAGUGGGAAACGAAGUGGGAAGGCUCAGACAGCCAGGAUGUUGGCUUAGAAGCAGCCAUCAUUUAAAGAAAGCGUAAUAGCUCACUGGUCGAGUCGGCCCGCGCGGAAGAUGUAACGGGGCUAAACCAUGCACCGAAGCUGCGGCAGCGACACAAAGUGUUGUUGGGUAGGGGAGCGUUCUGUAAGCCUGCGAAGGUGUACUGUGAGGUAUGCUGGAGGUAUCAGAAGUGCGAAUGCUGACAUAAGUAACGAUAAUGCGGGUGAAAAACCCGCACGCCGGAAGACCAAGGGUUCCUGUCCAACGUUAAUCGGGGCAGGGUGAGUCGACCCCUAAGGCGAGGCUGAAAAGCGUAGUCGAUGGGAAACGGGUUAAUAUUCCCGUACUGGUGGUAACUGCGAUGGGGGAACGGAGAAGGCUAGGUUGUCCGGGCGACGGUCGUCCCGGUUCAAGCAGGUAGGCAGAGUGAUUAGGCAAAUCCGGUCACUUAAUGCUGAGAUGUGAUGACGAACCACCAAGGUGGUGAAGCAAUUGAUGCCCCGCUUCCAGGAAAAGCCUCUAAGCUUCAGGUUACCAACAAUCGUACCCCAAACCGACACAGGUGGUCAGGUAGAGAAUACUCAGGCGCUUGAGAGAACUCGGGUGAAGGAACUAGGCAAAAUGGUGCCGUAACUUCGGGAGAAGGCACGCUGGCGGUAGGUAAAGUCCCUCGCGGACGGCGCUGAAGCCAGUCGAAGAUACCAGCUGGCUGCAACUGUUUAUUAAAAACACAGCACUGUGCAAACACGAAAGUGGACGUAUACGGUGUGACGCCUGCCCGGUGCUGGAAGGUUAAUUGAUGGGGUCAGCCG